UGAGUAACACGUAUCCAACCUGCCUCUCUCUUGGACAGCCUUCUGAAGGAAGAUUAAUACAAGAUGGCAUCAUGAGUUCACAUGUUCACAUGAUUAAAGGUAUUCCGGUAGACGAUGGGGAUGCGUUCCAUUAGAUAGUAGGCGGGGUAACGGCCCACCUAGUCUUCGAUGGAUAGGGGUUCUGAGAGGAAGGUCCCCCACAUUGGAACUGAGACACGGUCCAA
rnacentral:rRNA from 1 species